rnacentral:lncRNA from 1 species
GAGUUUCCAGGUUAGCUCGGGUUGGAGGCCGUCAGAGAUAUUAUCACCCUAUCGAGUUAACAUUAUCGGAGUAAGUAAACUCAAGUGAUUCGAGUCUAUGGCAUGUAUAGGGUUUUAAUGUGAGUAUGUAAUAUUAUGAUUUAGCCAAAGGCAUUGGCUUGUUAUUAAGGUAGUAUUAGUCAUGUAAAUUGGCCUAUGUCGGCUAAUGACG